rnacentral:rRNA from 1 species
AGCAGCCGCGGUAAUUCCAGCUCCAAUAGCGUAUAUUAAAGUUGUUGCAGUUAAAAAGCUCGUAGUUGAAUUUCGGGAUCAAUAUGUUGGUCGUGCCUCGGUACGUACUGGCGUCAUUGGUUUCUACCUUCUGAAGAACCUCGAUGUCAUUAAUUUGGUGUCUUGGGGAAUCAGGACUGUUACUUUGAAAAAAUUAGAGUGUUUAAAGCAGGCUCACGCUUGAAUACAUUAGCAUGGAAUAAUGAAAUAGGACGUUUGAUUCUAUUUUGUUGGUUUCUAGGAUCGACGUAAUGAUUAAUAGGGAUAGUUGGGGGCAUUAGUAUUCAAUUGUCAGAGGUGAAAUUCUUGGAUUUAUUGAAGACUAACUACUGCGAAGGCAUUUGCCAAGGAUGUUUUCAUUAAUCAAGAAUGAAAGUUAGGGGAUCGAAGACGAUCAGAUACCGUCGUAGUCUUAACCAUAAACUAUGCCGACUAGGGACCGGAUGAUGUUAAUUUUUAAUGACUCAUUCGGCGCCUUACG